ensembl:snRNA U6 U6 spliceosomal RNA
AUGCUCAGUUCGGCAGCACUUAUACUAAAAUUGGAAUGAAACAGAGAAGAUUAACAUGGGCCUUGUGCAGGGAUGGCAUCCAAAUUCAUGAAGUGUUCCACAUUUUU